CCAAGCCUCCACUUCUGAACUGUAUGGUAAGGUUCAAGAAGUCCCCCAGUCAGAAACAACUCCCUUCUACCCUCGUUCUCCCUACGCCGUGGCCAAGCAGUACGCCUUCUGGAUCUUGGUCAACUACCGUGAGGCUUAUGGCAUGCACUUGACCAACGGUAUCCUCUUCAACCACGA
rnacentral:ribozyme from 1 species